rnacentral:rRNA from 1 species
AGGGAAGAAAAGGUUCUGGCUAAUACCCGGAAACUGAUGACGGUACCUGAAGAAUAAGCACCGGCUAACUACGUGCCAGCAGCCGCGGUAAUACGUAGGGUGCAAGCGUUAAUCGGAGUUACUGGGCGUAAAGCGUGCGCAGGCGGUUCGGAAAGAAGGAUGUGAAAUCCCAGGGCUCAACCUUGGAACUGCAUUCUUAACUACCGAACUAGAGUAUGUCAGAGGGGGGUAGAAUUCCGCGUGUAGCAGUGAAAUGCGUAGAUAUGCGGAGGAAUACCGAUGGCGAAGGCAGCCCCCUGGGAUAAUACUGACGCUCAUGCACGAAAGCGUGGGUAGCAAACAGGAUUAGAUACCCUGGUAGUCCACGCCCUAAACGAUGUCAACUAGCUGUUGGGCCCUUCGGGGCUUAGUAGCGUAGCUAACGCGUGAAGUUGACCGCCUGGGGAGUACGGUCGCAAGAUUAAAACUCAAAGGAAUUGACGGGGACCCGCACAAGCGGUGGAUGAUGUGGAUUAAUUCGAUGCAACGCGAAAAACCUUACCUACCCUUGACAUGUCUGGAAUCCUUUAGAGAUAGAGGAGUGCUCGCAAGAGAACCGGAACACAGGUGCUGCAUGGCUGUCGUCAGCUCGUGUCGUGAGAUGUUGGGUUAAGUCCCGCAACGAGCGCAACCCUUGUCAUUAGUUGCCAGCAUUCAGUUGGGCACUCUAAUGAGACUGCCGGUGACAAACCGGAGGAAGGUGGGGAUGACGUCAAGUCCUCAUGGCCCUUAUGGGUAGGGCUUCACACGUCAUACAAUGGUCGGGACAGAGGGUUGCCAAACCGCGAGGUGGAGCCAAUCUCAGAAACCCGAUCGUAGUCCGGAUUGCAGGCUGCAACUCGCCUGCAUGAAGUCGGAAUCGCUAGUAAUCGCGGAUCAGCAUGUCGCGGUGAAUACGUUCCCGGGUCUUGUACACACCGA